AUUGAACGCUGGCGGCAGGCCUAACACAUGCAAGUCGAACGAGUGGCGGACGGGUGAGUAAUGUCUGGGAAACUGCCUGAUGGAGGGGGAUAACUACUGGAAACGGUAGCUAAUACCGCAUACCAUCAGAUGUGCCCAGAUGGGAUUAGCUUGUUGGUGGGGUAACGGCUCCCCAAGGCGACGAUCCCUAGCUGGUCUGAGAGGAUGACCAGCAACAUGGGAACGGAGACACGGGCCAGAUGCCGACGGGAGGCAGCAGUGGGGAAGAGUGCAAAAUGGGCGCAAGCCGGAUGCAGACAUGCCGCGUGUAUGAAGAAGGCCUUCGGGUUGUAAAGUACUUUCAGCGGGGAGGCGUUACCCGCAGAAGAAGCACCGGCUAACUCCGUGCCAGCAGCCGCGGUAAUUC
rnacentral:rRNA from 1 species